AAUGAACGCUGGCGGCGUGCUUAACACAUGCAAGUCGUACGAGAAACCCCGGCUUGCCGGGGGAGUAAAGUGGCGCACGGGUGAGUAACGCGUGGGUAAUCUACCCUCGAAUUGGGGAUAACACACCGAAAGGUGUGCUAAUACCGAAUAAGACCACGACCUCCACGGGGGUUGCGGUCAAAGAUGGCCUCUGCUUGCAAGCUGUCGUUUGAGGAUGAGCCCGCGUACCAUUAGCUUGUUGGUGGGGUAAUGGCCUACCAAGGCAACGAUGGUUAGCUGGUCUGAGAGGAUGGCCAGCCACACUGGAACUGGAACACGGUCCAGACUCCUACGGGAGGCAGCAGUGAGGAAUUUCGCGCAAUGGGGGAAACCCUGACGCAGCAACGCCGCGUGAGUGAAGGAGGCCUUCGGGUUGUAAAGCUCUGUCAAGUGGGAAGAACCUUUUUCGGCCGAAUACGCCGAGAAACUGACGGUACCGCUGAAGGAAGCACCGGCUAACUCCGUGCCAGCCGCCGCUGUAA
rnacentral:rRNA from 1 species